CUUGGUGAAAAUAGAGACGUUGAACCACCUGAAUCCAUCUCGAACUCAGAAGUGAAAAGCGUCAUCGCCGAUGAUAGUGUGGGGUUUCCCCAUGUGAAAGUAGGUCAUCACCAAGU
rnacentral:rRNA from 1 species